rnacentral:lncRNA from 1 species
UUCACAUCUGGGCGCCCAACUCUUUUCCUCUCUUCUCCUUUAUCUCAUUCUCUCACAAGCGGCUUCUCAAACACGCUUUUCAUUCAUAUCAUUCAAAAACCCUAAUUAUCAUAUAGGUGAUUCUCUGGCUGGCGAUUUCAUACAUCUUUGAUUGUCUCAAACACAAAACUCUCAUCCAGAUCUUGAAGGUCCAUCCUAUUCCUAUGAUAAAUGGACGCUGGAUAUAUACAUAGAUGCAAAAUUUAAAGAGAGAGAAAGGGUUCAACAAAUUAGAGAUCAGUGUAGAAAGAUACCGAUGAGUUUCCGGCGGACCACCGACGGCCUAUCCGAUGAAAGGGAAGGUAAGGUCGCACCUCCUAUUGUCUCAGAUUGCUCUUGAAAUUGAUAAACCUUAAAUCGAUACCCAUGUCAUAGAAGUUGAGCCCUAAAUCUACAGUUAUUUCCUUUAAUUAUGUCUCGGAGACCAUUUUCUAAUUUGUGCUUUUAUAAAGACGUAAUGCGAAUGCUAUUUUCCUUCGUCGCUUCAGUUUCAUUCGUAUAGACGUAGUAAUUCAGGAAUAUCCAUUCCUCAAUGAAUGAAUAAAGUAUGGAAACGUUGCCUGGGCAGUUUUUCAUUGGGGGAAUUUUAUCAGCAGUUAGACUAGGGUUCAUAAUCAGGCUGGGUUGGAAGCAUAGGUGGCAAGAUAGAAGUGUUUGCUUGUGGAUAUUAGAGGGAAAAUUGAAGGGUUAGAUGGUACUUUUAUUAACUAGAAGCAACUUCCAGCUAAGAAUAACAUAGGUAACCCUAAUUUGACAUGUGGGAAUGUGAAUCCAUGUAAUUUGUAGUGUGGGGAUCAAGUUUACUGCCUUCUUCUCGAAGUAGAUGGAAGAUAUGUAGAAAAUGCAUCAAUACAUGAUCCAGUUAUCAAUGACUAUGAGUUUGAGAAUUUGCAAUGUUUCAAGUUUGGGGAACCAAAAUUCCUUGCUCAACGAGUUUCCAGGUUACAACUGAUGAUGGUUUAAUUGUAGCUAAUUAAUCUGGUGGACAACCAAAAAGAAAAGCCAAGCAUCUGUGAUAUCCCGGAGGACGUCAAAAGGUUGACGGUGUAUGGUGAUCAAACAAGGGUUCCACAAGUUUUGACCAACUCUUUACCGAAUUUAGUGAUCACUACAACCAUGAGGAAGUUCGAAAGGCUUAUGAUAUGUUAAAGGAGAAGGAAGAUGUUGAAGAUAUGUUGUUCAAGGGCUUAUUCCAUGUCACGGGUCACUAGAAGUGAUACAAUUUUUUUGAAGUAGCGAUAUAGAGAAGAGUUUCCACGGAGCUCUAAAGACAGAGUUGGGUUAUUAUAUGACGCUAUACAGUCAAUAGUGUGCUAUAGCGGUGUCAAUACUUACAAGGCAGAUUGAGUUGACUUCUGGAAGUCAGCGGGUCGGCAAGAGGAAUCAAGAUUCAAUCUGUGCUACGGACGAAGUGGCCCACCAAAUGAUCCUAAGUUAAUUCAUACAUGCAUCAAGGAAAAACUCGAUAACAUAAUUACUUUCGAUGACAAGUCGAGGCUAGAAAGAGGUGGAAUGGCGGCUAAAAUGUUGUUUACGCUUCACAGGCUGGCAUUCCCAUUGUUAUAACUAGUGGUUUCAUUGGGGACAAUAUUGUAGAAUUUCAUUGAGGACAAUAUUGAAGUUUAAAGAGAUCACAGGUUAAAUACUUUUAAUGCGUAAAAGUGGACGAUCAAGUAUCCGGUAGGGAUAUUUAUAAUAUAAUUUUUGUUUCUUAACGAGGAUAAAAAGGUCAACGGGCUCAAGAUAAUUUAAGGCCGAGACACGAAGACAAGGCGCAAUUUAAUUGAAAAAGGGUUGCUCGGUUUGCUUUUCAAUCACUCACUACGAACGCUUUCAAACAAAUAAUAAAAAGUUCGAUCAAGGAUGGCUCAUGGAUUGCUAAUGGCUUGUGUGUUAAUUCACUCAUAUUUGUCAAUUGUGUACAAAUUUAGAUUGUUUAGAAUUUUAGGAGGAUGGUUGAUUUUUUUUACUAUAUUCACCGAAACUUUACAAUAUUCUAACGGGUUGUGAAAAGCAAAAAAGCUAUUCUAUUGGCAGAUGUAUCACAUAUUAGUGGUUUAAUUGAAGCUUGAGUCACC